GAUGAACGCUGGCGGCGUGCCUAAUACAUGCAAGUCGAGCGAACAGAUAAGGAGCUUGCUCCUUUGAAGUUAGCGGCGGACGGGUGAGUAACACGUGGGUAACCUACCUAUAAGACUGGGAUAACUUCGGGAAACCGGAGCUAAUACCGGAUAACAUUUAGAACCGCAUGGUUCUAAAGUGAAAGAUGGUUUUGCUAUCCCUUAUAGAUGGACCCGCGCCGUAUUAGCUAGUUGGUGAGGUAACGGCUUACCAAGGAGACGAUACGUAGCCGACCUGAGAGGGUGAUCGGCCACACUGGAACUGAGACACGGUCCAGACUCCUACGGGAGGCAGCAGUAGGGAAUCUUCCGCAAUGGGCGAAAGCCUGACGGAGCAACGCCGCGUGAGUGAUGGAGGGUUUCGGCUCGUAAAACUCUGUUAUUAGGGAAGAACAAAUGUGCAAGUAACUGUGCACAUCUUGACGGUACCUAAUCAGAAAGCCACGGCUAACUACGUGCCAGCAGCCGCAGUAA
rnacentral:rRNA from 1 species